UGGGGAAUUGUUCGCAAUGGGCGCAAGCCUGACGACGCAACGCCGCGUGGAGGAUGAAGAUCUUCGGGUCGUAAACUCCUUUCGUCCGAGAUGAAUUUCCGCCGACCUAACACGUCGGCGGGGUGACAGUAUCGGGAGAAGCAGCCCCGGCUAACUCCGUGCCAGCAGCCGCGGUAAUACGGGGGGGGCAAGCGUUGUUCGGAAUUACUGGGCGUAAAGGGUUCGUAGGUGGCUCGCUAAGUCAGACGUGAAAUCCCUCGGCUCAACCGGGGAACUGCGUCUGAGACUGGAGAGCUUGAGUGCAGGAGAGGAACGCGGAAUUCCAGGUGUAGCGGUGAAAUGCGUAGAUAUCUGGAGGAACACCGGUGGCGAAGGCGGCGUUCUGGACUGCAACUGACACUGAGGAACGAAAGCCAGGGGAGCAAACGGGAUUAGAUACCCCUGUAGUCC
rnacentral:rRNA from 1 species